UAGAGUUUGAUCCUGGCUCAGGAUGAACGCUAGCUACAGGCUUAACACAUGCAAGUCGAGGGGCAGCAUUUUAGUUUGCUUGCAAACUAAAGAUGGCGACCGGCGCACGGGUGAGUAACACGUAUCCAACCUGCCGAUAACUCGGGGAUAGCCUUUCGAAAGAAAGAUUAAUAUCCGAUAGUAUAUUAAAACCGCAUGGUUUUACUAUUAAAGAAUUUCGGUUAUCGAUGGGGAUGCGUUCCAUUAGUUUGUUGGCGGGGUAACGGCCCACCAAGACUACGAUGGAUAGGGGUUCUGAGAGGAAGGUCCCCCACAUUGGAACUGAGACACGGUCCAAACUCCUACGGGAGGCAGCAGUGAGGAAUAUUGGUCAAUGGACGAGAGUCUGAACCAGCCAAGUAGCGUGAAGGAUGACUGCCCUAUGGGUUGUAAACUUCUUUUAUAUGGGAAUAAAGUUUUCCACGUGUGGGAUUUUGUAUGUACCAUAUGAAUAAGGAUCGGCUAACUCCGUGCCAGCAGCCGCGGUAAUACGGAGGAUCCGAGCGUUAUCCGGAUUUAUUGGGUUUAAAGGGAUCGUAGGUGGAUUGUUAAGUCAGUUGUGAAAGUUUGCGGCUCAACCGUAAAAUUGCAGUUGAAACUGGCAGUCUUGAGUACAGUAGAGGUGGGCGGAAUUCGUGGUGUAGCGGUGAAAUGCUUAGAUAUCACGAAGAACUCCGAUUGCGAAGGCAGCUCACUAGACUGCAACUGACACUGAUGCUCGAAAGUGUGGGUAUCAAACAGGAUUAGAUACCCUGGUAGUCCACACAGUAAACGAUGAAUACUCGCUGUUUGCGAUAUACAGUAAGCGGCCAAGCGAAAGCAUUAAGUAUUCCACCUGGGGAGUACGCCGGCAACGGUGAAACUCAAAGGAAUUGACGGGGGCCCGCACAAGCGGAGGAACAUGUGGUUUAAUUCGAUGAUACGCGAGGAACCUUACCCGGGCUUAAAUUGCAUUUGAAUAAUCUGGAAACAGGUUAGCCGCAAGGCAAAUGUGAAGGUGCUGCAUGGUUGUCGUCAGCUCGUGCCGUGAGGUGUCGGCUUAAGUGCCAUAACGAGCGCAACCCUUAUCUUUAGUUACUAACAGGUCAUGCUGAGGACUCUAGAGAGACUGCCGUCGUAAGAUGUGAGGAAGGUGGGGAUGACGUCAAAUCAGCACGGCCCUUACGUCCGGGGCUACACACGUGUUACAAUGGGGGGUACAGAAGGCAGCUACCUGGCGACAGGAUGCUAAUCCCAAAAACCUCUCUCAGUUCGGAUCGAAGUCUGCAACCCGACUUCGUGAAGCUGGAUUCGCUAGUAAUCGCGCAUCAGCCAUGGCGCGGUGAAUACGUUCCCGGGCCUUGUACACACCGCCCGUCAAGCCAUGAAAGCCGGGGGUACCUGAAGUACGUAACCGCAAGGAGCGUCCUAGGGUAAAA
rnacentral:rRNA from 1 species